rnacentral:sRNA from 1 species
AGCCCACGUCCCCCGCACCACCCGUGGUCUGUGAGCCGGGGAACCACACUUCCCCCUGGGGUGAAUCCCCUGUGAGGCGCACUGCGCGAGCGGUGCGUGGAGCAGGGGUAGGACACGUCGUGCCGAACCCGUCAGCUCACCCGGUAGGCGUACGACACCCCGAGGA